rnacentral:rRNA from 1 species
UUCGGGAACGUCUGACACAGGUGCUGCAUGGCUGUCGUCAGCUCGUGUCGUGAGAUGUUGGGUUAAGUCCGUAACGAGCGCAACCCUUGUCCUUAGUUACCAGCACGUUAUGGUGGGCACUCUAAGGAGACUGCCGGUGACAAACCGGAGGAAGGUGGGGAUGACGUCAAGUCGUCAUGGCCCUUACGGCCUGGGCUACACACGUGCUACAAUGGUCGGUACAAAGGGUUGCCAAGCCGCGAGGUGGAGCUAAUCCCAUAAAACCGAUCGUAGUCCGGAUCGCAGUCUGCAACUCGACUGCGUGAAGUCGGAAUCGCUAGUAAUCGUGAAUCAGAAUGUCACGGUGAAUACGUUCCCGGGCCUU